AGUUUCAUAGUUCAAUAAGAAUAUUAAAUUGCAAAUUUAAAGGUAAAGUAUAUUUUGAAGCUU
rnacentral:tRNA from 1 species